rnacentral:rRNA from 1 species
UACGUAGGGGGCUAGCGUUGUCCGGAAUCACUGGGCGUAAAGCGCGUGUAGGCGGUCCGGUAAGUCCGCUGUGAAAGUCGGGGGCUCAACCCUCGAAUGCCGGUGGAUACUGUCAGACUAGAGUACGGAAGGGGCGAGUGGAAUUCCUGGUGUAGCGGUGAAAUGCGCAGAUAUCAGGAGGAACACCCAUUGCGAAGGCAGCUCGCUGGGACGUUACUGACGCUGAGACGCGAAAGCGUGGGGAGCAAACAGG